UGUUCAUCAUGUUUAAUGUUAUUGUUUGGUUGAAUCGGAUUAGGCUAGAGGAGUUGCUAUGAUGAAGGAAAAAUGACAGCUGAAACCUUAGCUAUGGAUUAUCAUCGAGGUUUUGGGGUUGAGGUGCGAAUUGCUCGGAUUUUCAAUACUUAUGGGCCUCGUAUGUGCUAGGAUGAUGGACGCAUCAUUAGCAAUUUUGUUGCUCAGGCCAUCCGGAAGCAGCCAAUGACUGUUUAUGGUGACGGCCAACAAACACGAAGCUUCCAAUACGUUUCUGAUUUGGUGGAUGGACUUGUCGCAUCAAUGGAGGGGGAGCAUAUAGG